UACGUAGGGUGCGAGCGUUAAUCGGAAUUACUGGGCGUAAAGCGUGCGCAGGCGGUGAUGUAAGACAGAUGUGAAAUCCCCGGGCUCAACCUGGGACCUGCAUUUGUGACUGCAUCGCUGGAGUGCGGCAGAGGGGGAUGGAAUUCCGCGUGUAGCAGUGAAAUGCGUAGAUAUGCGGAGGAACACCGAUGGCGAAGGCAAUCCCCUGGGCCUGCACUGACGCUCAUGCACGAAAGCGUGGGGAGCAAACAGG
rnacentral:rRNA from 1 species